GUUCGAUCGCUUCAAUGGGUUUCUAGGUUUGCCUGUGGAGUUCGAAGUCGAGAUCCCGCGUCGGGUCCCGAGUGCUAGUGCUAGUGUGUUUGGUGUAUCAGCAGAAUCAAUGCAAUGUACUUUUGAUUCAAGAGGGAAUAGUAUCCCUACAAUUCUCUUGCUAAUGCAGGAGAGGCUAUACUCACAGGGAGGUCUAAAGGCAGAAGGGAUUUUUCGUAUAAACCCAGAAAAUGGCCAAGAGGAGCACGUGAGGGACCAGCUGAACAGAGGCAUUGUGCCUGAUGAUAUUGAUGUA
rnacentral:misc_RNA from 1 species